UACAGAGGGGGCAAGCGUUGUUCGGAAUUACUGGGCGUAAAGGGCGCGUAGGCGGAAUGGCAAGUCGGUCGUGAAAUCCUUCGGCUCAACCGAAGAACGUCGAUCGAAACUGCCGUUCUUGAGGAUUGCAGAGGAGACUGGAAUUCCCGGUGUAGCGGUGAAAUGUGUAGAGAUCGGGAGGAACACCGGUGGCGAAGGCGGGUCUCUGGGCAUCUCCUGACGCUGAGGCGCGAAAGCGUGGGGAGCAAACGGG
rnacentral:rRNA from 1 species